rnacentral:rRNA from 1 species
CAGUCGAGGGGUAUAGUUCUUCGGAACUAGAGACCGGCGCACGGGUGCGUAACGCGUAUGCAAUCUACCUUUCACAAAGGGAUAGCCCAGAGAAAUUUGGAUUAAUACCUUAUAGUAUAUAUGAAUGGCAUCAUUUAUAUAUUAAAGAUUUAUCGGUGAAAGAUGAGCAUGCGUCCCAUUAGCUAGUUGGUAAGGUAACGGCUUACCAAGGCAACGAUGGGUAGGGGUCCUGAGAGGGAGAUCCCCCACACUGGUACUGAGACACGGACCAGACUCCUACGGGAGGCAGCAGUGAGGAAUAUUGGACAAUGGGCGCAAGCCUGAUCCAGCCAUGCCGCGUGCAGGAUGACGGUCCUAUGGAUUGUAAACUGCUUUUAUACAGGAAGAAACACUUGCUCGUGAGCAAACUUGACGGUACUGUAAGAAUAAGGAUCGGCUAACUCCGUGCCAGCAGCCGCGGUAAUACGGAGGAUCCAAGCGUUAUCCGGAAUCAUUGGGUUUAAAGGGUCCGUAGGCGGUCAGGUAAGUCAGUGGUGAAAGCCCAUCGCUCAACGGUGGAACGGCCAUUGAUACUGUCUGACUUGAAUUAUUAGGAAGUAACUAGAAUAUGUAGUGUAGCGGUGAAAUGCUUAGAGAUUACAUGGAAUACCAAUUGCGAAGGCAGGUUACUACUAAUAUAUUGACGCUGAUGGACGAAAGCGUGGGUAGC